rnacentral:rRNA from 1 species
GACAGAGGGUGCAAACGUUGUUCGGAAUUACUGGGCGUAAAGCGUGUGUAGGCGGUCACGUAAGUCGGAUGUGAAAGCCCUGGGCUCAACCCAGGAAGUGCACUCGAUACUGGGAGGCUCGAGUCCGGAAGAGGUGAGUGGAACUGCGAGUGUAGAGGUGAAAUUCGUAGAUAUUAGGAAGAACACCAGUGGCGAAGGCGGCUCACUGGUCCGGUACUGACGCUGAGGUGCGAAAGCGUGGGGAGCAAACAGG